rnacentral:lncRNA from 1 species
GUAAGUAUGAUCGUUCUUCGGUUUUACGGUUGAUUCAAGGUGUUUGGGUCAGCUAAUUCCAUAAUAUAUUGGAAAAUCAGUAGCUAAUAAUUAUUGAAUUCCUUCAUUUAAUCAAUCCAUAACAUUUACCCUACAAUAAUGUCGAAACAACAAUUAAUUUUACACUUAACUGCACUUACGCUUCCCAAUUUGUGAGUUUCGAAUGACCAAACGAUUAAGAACAAUUUUCCCUAAUUGAUAUGGGUUUAAUAAAUAAUUAGGAGGGUUCAAGAAAUCAAAUUAAAGCUGGAAUUAACUAGGUAAGAUUCAAGAAACAAAAC